UACGGGGGGGGCAAGCGUUGUUCGGAAUUAUUGGGCGUAAAGAGCUCGUAGGCGGCUUGUCACGUCGGGUGUGAAAGCCCGGGGCUUAACCCCGGGUCUGCAUUCGAUACGGGCUAGCUAGAGUGUGGUAGGGGAGAUCGGAAUUCCUGGUGUAGCGGUGAAAUGCGCAGAUAUCAGGAGGAACACCGGUGGCGAAGGCGGAUCUCUGGGCCAUUACUGACGCUGAGGAGCGAAAGCCAGGGGAGCAAACGGG
rnacentral:rRNA from 1 species